rnacentral:rRNA from 1 species
AGAGUUUGAUCAUGGCUCAGAUUGAACGCUGGCGGUAUGCUUAACACAUGCAAGUCGAACGGUAGCAGCUCUUCGGAGGCUGACGAGUGGCGGACGGGUGAGUAACGCGUAGGAAUCUGCCUGUUAGUGGGGGACAACUUAGGGAAACUUAAGCUAAUACCGCAUACGCCCUACGGGGGAAAGGAGGGGAUCUUCGGACCUUUCGCUAACAGAUGAGCCUGCGUAGGAUUAGCUAGUUGGUAGGGUAAAGGUCUACCAAGGCGACGAUCCUUAGCUGUCCUGAGAGGAAGAUCAGCCACACUGGGACUGAGACACGGCCCAGACUCCUACGGGAGGCAGCAGUGGGGAAUAUUGGACAAUGGGCGAAAGCCUGAUCCAGCAAUACCGCGUGUGUGAAGAAGGCCUUAGGGUUGUAAAGCACUUUCAAUUGGGAGGAAAAAACUAGGGUCAAUACCCCUAGUCUUGACAUUACCUUUAGAAGAAGCACCGGCUAACUCCGUGCCAGCAGCCGCGGUUAUACGGAGGGUGCGAGCGUUAAUCGGAAUUACUGGGCGUAAAGAGUGCGUAGGCGGCUCGUUAAGUCAGAUGUGAAAGCCCUGGGCUCAACCUGGGAACUGCAUUUGAAACUGGCGAGCUAGAGUUGAGUAGAGGUAAGUGGAAUUUCAGGUGUAGCGGUGAAAUGCGUAGAUAUCUGAAGGAACACCAGUGGCGAAGGCGACUUACUGGACUCAAACUGACGCUGAGGUACGAAAGCGUGGGUAGCAAACAGGAUUAGAUACCCUGGUAGUCCACGCCGUAAACGAUGUCAACUAGCCGUUGGUCCUAUAUACAGGAUUAGUGGCGCAGCUAACGCAUUAGGUUGACCGCCUGGGGGAGUACGCGCAAGUUAAACUCAAUGAUGACGGGGCCGCACAGCGGUGGAGCAUGUGGUUUAUUCGAUGCACGCGAGACUUACUACCUUGA